rnacentral:rRNA from 1 species
AACCUCCGCAAUGUGAGAAAUCGCGACGGGGGGAUCCCAAGUGCCAUUCUUAACGGGAUGGCUUUUCAUUAGUGUAAAGAGCUUUUGGAAUAAGGGCUGGGCAAGACCGGUGCCAGCCGCCGCGGUAACACCGGCAGCUCUAGUGGUAGCAGUUUUUAUUGGGCCUAAAGCGUCCGUAGCCGGUUUAAUAAGUCUCUGGUGAAAUCCUGUAGCUUAACUGUGGGAAUUGCUGGAGAUACUAUUAGACUUGAGACCGGGAGAGGUUAGAGGUACUCCCAGGGUAGAGGUGAAAUUCUGUAAUCCUGGGAGGACCGCCUGUUGCGAAGGCGUCUAACUGGAACGGUUCUGACGGUGAGGGACGAAAGUUAGGGACGCGAACCGGAUUAGAUACCCGGGUAGUCCUAACUGUAACGAUGCGGACUUGGUGUUGGGGUGGCUUUGAGCUGCUCCAGUGCCGAAGGGAAGCUGUUAAGUCCGCCGCCUGGGAAGUACGGUCGCAAGACUGAAACUUAAGGAAUU